rnacentral:rRNA from 1 species
UACGGGGGGGGCAAGCGUUGUUCGGAAUUACUGGGCGUAAAGGGUUUGUAGGUGGCUUGUUAAGUCAGACGUGAAAUCCCUCAGCUUAACUGGGGAACUGCGUCUGAUACUGGCGAGCUUGAGUGCAGGAGAGGAACGCGGAAUUCCAGGUGUAGCGGUGAAAUGCGUAGAUAUCAAGAGGAACACCUGAGGUGAAGACGGGUUGCUGGGCCAACACUGACGCUGAGGCGCGAAAGCCAGGGGAGCAAACGGG